GAAAUAGAACGUCCUCUGUGCAUAUAAUCGUCUUCCUUAAUACCGGGAGACUUUAUUAUCCUAUUUGAGCUAAUACUACUUUGCAGACUAGGUCGGAUAGGAUGAUCGAGGUUUGAAUGACCAGCAUUCUUAAUUGGUAUAGGAAUGGAAGAGGAAGAAGUAGGAGGAUGUAGUAGAUUACUAGUAUCGCUUGGACUUACGGCAUAAGCACGAUCUAAUUCAUCAAUAUUGAUUGGGUCAACAGGGGUAGAAAUAGUAAGGGCCUCGGCUGGAGGCUGUUCAGCCAUUCUGAAAGCUUC